UAGAAACCUAACCUACAGCGAUGGAAUCAGCGACAGAUUUUAUCUGUAGCUAAUUAGCGACGGUUUACUGAGGAAUCACUGAUGGAAUGCAUAAAUAUUUCAAUCCAAAUAAUUAUAGAAGUUUAGAGACGUAUUACCAAGGGAUCAACGACAGAUUGGUAUGAUUUUAUCGACAAAAAAACAGUCCCUCGCUGAACCGUCGAAAAGUAAAACCUCUCAACGAGGGAAUAACGACGGAUUGCAAAAAAUUAGUGGCUUUUUUUCCUGGCCCUCGCUAAACCUUUGCAGAAAAUCUACGCCUUCCUUUUUUCAUUCCUAGCUUUUCUUCCUUUACUCGUUCCCUCGUUUUAUUUUCAUUCCCACCGAUUUAUUCCCUAAGUGACGAUUUCCUACCAAAUCCCUAUAUGACCGUCAAAUCUCUACUCUGUCCAGGAAAUCGCCUCCACCACAGUCAACCUGCAUCAUCCCUCUUUGAAGCCUCUCAAAGGAAAACCUGAUCUGAAAUCACAUCCUCGUUGGCUUUCUUCUCGGUUUGACUCCCUUCCUCGUUGACUCACAGCUUACGUCCAUGCCAAUGCCUUUCGAUCUGUUGAUUCACAACUACUCCAGACCAUACAACUGCUUAGCGGCAACAACGACGUCGAUCACCCGAUAAGAUAGCGGUGGUGGUUCUGUUGGCGGUAGCUGGAUCACAGUGGUGGUCAUCCCAUUCAAGCUCUUGUUUAUAGAAAUUUGAUUAACCUUGAGUGGGCCACAUCAGCAACAUAAAUGGAGAACAAUCACAGUUAGAGAAGAGCUCCAGUGCCAACUUACUAAAUGUUGCAAAUGAUGAUGAUUUAAUCAGGCUAGAACAGGCUGCUACUAAGGCACAAGCAGCUUUCAGGGGAUACUUGGAGCUUUCAAGCCUUCUUGUAAUAUUUCAGUUACAUUUAAUGAUGUGAAAACUCACAAACAAGUAAGCUAUUCUUAUUGUUCUCAUUCUAGAUAGAUGAUUAUUGUUUAGUAUAUCAAUACUUUGGCCUGCUAUAAUAAUUCUUCCUUACUAAUUCAUCAUCAGGUUCCUUUGAAGAAGGAAAAAGGUCAGAUAUCAAUGGUGCCUCUUUUCCAAAGUCAAGAAAGCAUUGCUGGAGUUAUAUCUGUAGACGCAAUGCAAGGGAAGAAGGUCGAACAUAAUGUCAUUAAAAUAGAACUCCUUGGUCAAAUUGAUCAAUGUGUCAAUAUAUAAGUACGACAUCCCUUGAGUAGUUCUCCAAGGCAGGAUUUGGAGAAACAAUUGGAGCUGGAGUUUACAUUCUUGUUGGAACAGUUGCUAAAGAGAAAACAGGGCCUGCAAUCACAAUAUCAUUCCUCAUAGCCGAAAUAGCAGCUGGACUUUCAGCAUUAUGUUAUGCAUAACUCGCAUGUCGUUGCCCAUCUGCAGGGAGUGCAUAUCACUAUUCUUACUUAUAUGUUGGAGAAGGUGUUGCUUGGUUGAUUGGUUGGUCCCUGAUUCUUGAAUACACACUUGGUGGAGCAGCAGUAGCCUGUGGCAUAUCCACAAAUAUGAUAAGCUUUCUGCUUUCUUAACUCGACCCACCAUUCUUGGAAUUGUAGUUGAUCCUUGUGCUGCUGUUUUAGUCUUCAUUAUAACUGGACUACUUUGCACUGGAAUCAAAGAGAGUUCAUUGGCUCAAGGCAUAAUCACAACAAUAAACGUUGUAGCCUUGCUUUUCAUCAUAGUAGUUGGUGGAUACAUAGGUUUCAAGACUCAAUGGGUGGAUACAAAGUUCCAGGCGGGUAUUUCCCGUAUGGAGCUAAUGGAGUACUUGCUGGAUCUGCAACCGUUUUUUUCUCAUAUGAUGGUUUUGAUGCAGUAACCAGCACAGCAGAAGAGAAUCCUAGAGAGAUGUAUCUGCUGUUGUGAUUGUUUUGGUGCCAUGUUCCCAAUUAGACCCUGAUACCCCUAUCGCCUUUGCUUUUGCUAGUUAUGGAAUGAAUGGAGCAGUGUAAGCAUACAACAUUUCUUUCUGAAGGGCGUAAUUGUAAUUUCAUGUUUAUUUACAUCUAAAAUGAUCAUCAUGAUUUCAUAUAUGUUAUAACAAUCGGAUCUGUUACUGCUCUCUGUGCUGCUUUUGGUUGUAUCAUUAUUUGAUGUUUUUUAGUAUAAUAAUUUGAUGAUUGAAGUA